AUGGCUCAGGAUGAACGCUAGCUACAGGCUUAACACAUGCAAGUCGUGGGGCAGCAUAUAGAUAGCUUGCUAUUUAUGAUGGCGACCGGCGCACGGGUGAGUAACGCGUAUCCAACCUUCCCCAUAGUAGGGUAUAGCCCGGCGAAAGUCGGAUUAAUCCCCUAUGUUGUUUGAAGCGGACAUCUAAUUCAAACCAAAGAUUCAUCGCUAUGGGAUGGGGAUGCGUCUGAUUAGGUUGCAGGCGGGGUAACGGCCCACCUGGCCGACGAUCAGUAGGGGUUCUGAGAGGAAGGUCCCCCACACUGGUACUGAGACACGGACCAGACUCCUACGGGAGGCAGCAGUGAGGAAUAUUGGUCAAUGGGCGCGAGCCUGAACCAGCCAAGUAGCGUGCAAGGAUGACGGCCCUACGGGUUGUAAACUGCUUUUAUGCGGGGAUAAAGUGCGGCACGUGUGCCGUUUUGCAGGUACCGCAUGAAUAAGGACCGGCUAAUUCCGUGCCAGCAGCCGC
rnacentral:rRNA from 1 species